rnacentral:rRNA from 1 species
AGCGAACGCUGGCGGCAGGCUUAACACAUGCAAGUCGAGCGGGCAUCCUCGUGGUGUCAGCGGCAGACGGGUGAGUAACGCGUGGGAACGUGCCCUUCGGUUCGGAAUAACUCAGGGAAACUUGAGCUAAUACCGGAUACGCCCUUUUGGGGAAAGGCUUGACUGCCGAAGGAUCGGCCCGCGUCUGAUUAGCUAGUUGGUGAGGUUACGGCUCACCAAGGCGACGAUCAGUAGCUGGUCUGAGAGGAUGAUCAGCCACACUGGGACUGAGACACGGCCCAGACUCCUACGGGAGGCAGCAGUGGGGAAUAUUGGACAAUGGGGGCAACCCUGAUCCAGCCAUGCCGCGUGAGUGAUGACGGCCUUAGGGUUGUAAAGCUCUUUUCUCCGGGACGAUAAUGACGGUACCGGAGGAAUAAGCCCCGGCUAACUUCGUGCCAGCCGCCGCAGUAA